rnacentral:rRNA from 1 species
AGUGAACGCUGGCGGUAGGCCUAACACAUGCAAGUCGAACGGCAGCACAGUAAGAGCUUGCUCUUACGGGUGGCGAGUGGCGGACGGGUGAGGAAUACAUCGGAAUCUACUUUUUCGUGGGGGAUAACGUAGGGAAACUUACGCUAAUACCGCAUACGACCUACGGGUGAAAGCAGGGGAUCUUCGGACCUUGCGCGAUUGAAUGAGCCGAUGUCGGAUUAGCUAGUUGGCGGGGUAAAGGCCCACCAAGGCGACGAUCCGUAGCUGGACUGAGAGGAUGAUCAGCCACACUAGAACUGGGACACGGUCCAGACUCCUACGAGAGGCAGCAGUGGGGAAUAUUGGACAAUGGGCGCAAGCCUGAUCCAGCCAUACCGCGUGGGUGAAGAAGGCCUUCGGGUUGUAAAGCCCUUUUGUUGGGAAAGAAAAGCAGCAGGUUAAUACCCCGCUGUUCUGACGGUACCCAAAGAAUAAGCACCGGCUAACUUCGUG